CUACGGGUGGCAGCAGUGGGGAAUAUUGCACAAUGGAGGAGACUCUGAUGCAGCAACGCCGCGUGGAGGAUGACACUUUUCGGAGCGUAAACUCCUUUUAUAUAGGAAGAAGAUGACGGUACUAUAUGAAUAAGCGCCGGCUAACUCCGUGCCAGCAGCCGCGGUAAUACGGAGGGCGCAAGCGUUACUCGGAAUCACUGGGCGUAAAGAGCGUGUAGGCGGGUUAAAAAGUCAGAAGUGAAAUCCUAUAGCUUAACUAUAGAACUGCUUCUGAAACUCUUAAUCUAGAAUAUGGGAGAGGUAGAUGGAAUUUCUGGUGUAGGGGUAAAAUCCGUAGAGAUCAGAAGGAAUACCGAGUGCGAAGGCGAUCUACUAGAACAUUAUUGACGCUGAGACGCGAAAGCGUGGGGAGCAAACAGGAUUAGAUACCCCCGUAGUC
rnacentral:rRNA from 1 species